UCUCCUUCCUCUCUCAGCUCACCCUCGCUGCCUCUCGCUCUCUGCCUCAUCUCCCUUGCUCGUCUGCUCGCGCUCGCGCUCACACUCGCUGGCUCUCUCUUGCUCUCGCUCGGGCUCGGCCCCUCUUGCUCUCGCUCACCCUCCGGCCCUCGCUGCCUUUCUCUUACUCUUGCCCUCGCUCUUUGCCUGACUGCCUCUCUCUUGCUCUCGCUCUCGCUCACCCUCGCCCCCACGCUCGCUUGGCCAGUCGGCCUUGCCCUCGCUCUCACUCACCCUCUCACUCGCAGCCUCUGAUUCAGAAUCUGAAAAUGAACCAGGAUCACUAUGCCUCAUGGAUGGUGCAACUUGGUGGGCCAAAACUGAUCGUUCAAAUUACAAAAGAAAUUGGUGUUGGAGUGCACUUCAACCCAUUUGUUUCUUGGAAGGACAAGGUGUUCAAGUAUGGAGUUUUUCGAAUAGAUGACUUGGUUCGGGACAUACUAAAUUGGGAGAGAUUCUAUUUGAGUGGCCGUUUGUAGAAGCCUGGGACUUGCGUAUGCUUUUUGCAGAGGACAAAAAUAAGGUUAAGAAGAUUGUAGAAGGGUAAUUUGAAUUAUUCCAGACAAUGUAUAAGCCAUUUCUAGAAGAAUAUGCAACCAAGAAUUUGCUGAGAUUCUCUUCAUUAGCUGGAUUGUGGUUUAUCUGCAGCUUCCUCCCUCGUUUCUUUUCUCCCUCCGACUGUCAGAAGUGAGCUGGGGUUUAGGUUAGGAGAAAAGUUUAAAGUAAGCGAGUCAGGUAUGAUGUCUGGCCCCUAUAGAUUGAUCCAACAAAUAUAUAUUACACAUAAUUGCCUCUAACUAAUAAGAAGUGAGUUAAUACAUGAAAUUAAGUACCAUCACAAGCAUUGUUUAGAAGUUGGAGAAGGAAUUUGAUGCAAUGAGUUUGUCUCUAGUUCAAGCCUUGUGAUGAUUCAUCAUCUAAUUUGACGCGGUGGGGGGUGGCAGGGAAACACAUAAAAAGAUGGUCGUGCAUACAUUUUUUUUUUUUUUUUUGUUGCGUUUCAGGUAAAGUUAUUCGCAAAGUUGCGAUUGGAUCAAGAAAGGAAGUUGUGAAAUGCAUGAGGAAGAUAGUGAGGCGACAUGUUAUGUUUUCGAGUGCCAGGCAAGCUGUAUCCGGUCUGCUGACGGUUGGUGUUGUUCAUGGAGCUAGAUAUCUUGCAAGUAAGAUGAGGAAGGCUUGGAAGUCCUGGAUUUGAACUUUCUAGGAUCAGUUCUGUCACCUCUUAACAAGAUAACCCGAUCGUGCCCUCUUAAUAGGAGCAGCUGCGACACCAAACCUCGAAGAACUUCCAACGGGUGUCCUCUAAUUCAAAGGUUGGUAUUGUCAACAGACCAACCAAAAUGCAAAGCUGUAGAUCAAAUUCUGUUUAGGAUCUGCAGUGCCAGGAAGGAAGUGACUUUAAUUAUGGGUUGCAAUUUUAACUAUUGAAUUACCAAGGGCAAUCUU